rnacentral:rRNA from 1 species
AGUGAACGCUGGCGGUGGGCCUAACACAUGCAAGUCGAACGGCAGCACAGUAAGAGCUUGCUCUUACGGGUGGCGAGUGGCGGACGGGUGAGGAAUACAUCGGAAUCUACUUUUUCGUGGGGGAUAACGUAGGGAAACUUACGCUAAUACCGCAUACGACCUACGGGUGAAAGCAGGGGAUCUUCGGACCUUGCGCGAUUGAAUGAGCCGAUGUCGGAUUAGCUAGUUGGCGGGGUAAAGGCCCACCAAGGCGACGAUCCGUAGCUGGUCUGAGAGGAUGAUCAGCCACACUGGAACUGAGACACGGUCCAGACUCCUACGGGAGGCGGCAGUGGGGAAUAUUGGACAAUGGGCGCAAGCCUGAUCCAGCCAUACCGCGUGGGUGAAGAAGGCCUUCGGGUUGUAAAGCCCUUUUGUUGGGAAAGAAAAGCAGCAGGUUAAUACCCCGCUGUUCUGACGGUACCCAAAGAAUAAGCACCGGCUAACUUCGUG